UACGGGGGGGGUAAGCGUUGUUCGGAAUUACUGGGCGUAAAGGGCUCGUAGGCGCCAACUAAGUCAGACGUGAAAUCCCUCAGCUUAACUGGGGAACUGCGUCUGAUACUGGAUGGCUUGGAUUCGGGGAGAGGAAUGCGGAAUUCCAGGUGUAGCGGUGAAAUGCGUAGAUAUCGGAGGAACACCGGUGGCGAAGGCGGCAUUCUGGCCGACAUUGACGCUGAGGAGCGAAAGCCAGGGGAGCAAACGGG
rnacentral:rRNA from 1 species